rnacentral:rRNA from 1 species
AGAGUUUGAUCAUGGCUCAGGACGAACGCUGGCGGCGUGCUUAACACAUGCAAGUCAGGGAGAAUAAGGUAGCAAUAUCUUUAGUAAACCGGCGCACGGGUGAGUAAUAUAUAGAUAAUUUGUCUUUUGGUCCGGAAUAAUUUUGCGAUAAGCGAAGCUAAUAACGGGUAACGCAACAAUUUCGCAUGAAAUAGUUGUUAAAGUUUUAACGCCAAUAGAAAAGUCUGUAUUCCAUUAGACUGUUGGUGAGGUAACGGCUCACCAAAUCUACGAUGGAUAGCUGAUUUGAGAGGAUGAUCAGCCACACUGGAACUGAGACACGGUCCAGACUCCUACGGGAGGCAGCAGUGAGGAAUAUUGCGCAAUGGACGAAAGUCUGACGCAGCGACGCCGCGUGAAGGAUGAAGGCUCUUUGGGUCGUAAACUUCUGUAGAAGGGGAAGAAUGUAUUGUGUUACAAUAUUGACGGUACCCUAAAAGUAAGCAUCGGCUAACUACGUGCCAGCAGCCGCGGUAAUACGUAGGAUGCGAGCGUUGUCCGGAAUCAUUGGGUGUAAAGGGAGUGUAGGUGGGUUUUCAAGUCAGUGGUGAAAUCUUACAACUCAAUUGUAAAAUUGCCAUUGAUACUGUUAAUCUUGAAUGUAGAAAAGGGUGAUGGAAUUCAUAGUGUAGCAGUGAAAUGCGUAGAUAUUAUGAAGAACACCAGUUGCGAAGGCGGUCACCUGGUCUAUUAUUAACACUUAGGCUCGAAAGUGUGGGGAGCAAACAGGAUUAGAUACCCUGGUAGUCCACACCCUAAACGAUGAAUACUCGAUGUUGGGUCGAAAGACUCAGUGUCAAAGCUAACGUAUUAAGUAUUCCCACCUGGGAAGUACGAUCGCAAGGUUGAAACUCAAAGGAAUUGACGGGGGCCCGCACAAGCAGUGGAGCAUGUGGUUUAAUUCGAUGCAACGCGAAGAACCUUACCAGGGUUUGAAAAGCAAGAUUCUAGACGAUGAAAGUCGUUUACUCGCAAGAGGUCUUGUACAGGUGCUGCAUGGCUGUCGUCAGCUCGUGUCGUGAGAUGUUCGGUUAAGUCCGGCAACGAGCGCAACCCACACUCUUAGUUGCCAUCAUUCAGUUGGGCACUCUAGGAGAACUGCCGGUGAUAAGCCGGAGGAAGGUGUGGAUGACGUCAAGUCCUCAUGGCCCUUACGGGUUGGGCUACACACGUGCUACAAUGGUGGUGACAAUGGGUUAAUCCCAAAAAGCCAUCUCAGUUCGGAUUGGGGUCUGCAACUCGACCCCAUGAAGUCGGAAUCGCUAGUAAUCGCGUAACAGCAUGACGCGGUGAAUACGUUCCCGGGCCUUGUACACACCGCCCGUCACACCAUGGGAAUUGGGUCUACCCGAAGGCGGUGCGCCAACCAGCAAUGGAGGCAGCCGACCACGGUAGGCUCAGUGACUGGGGUGAAGUCGUAACAAGGUAGCCGUAGGGGAACCUGCGGCUGGAUCACCUCCUU